rnacentral:rRNA from 1 species
UACGGAGGGCGCUAGCGUUGUUCGGAAUUACUGGGCGUAAAGCGCACGUAGGCGGCUAUUCAAGUCAGAGGUGAAAGCCCGGGGCUCAACCCCGGAACUGCCUUUGAAACUAGGUGGCUAGAAUCUUGGAGAGGUCAGUGGAAUUCCGAGUGUAGAGGUGAAAUUCGUAGAUAUUCGGAAGAACACCAGUGGCGAAGGCGACUGACUGGACAAGUAUUGACGCUGAGGUGCGAAAGCGUGGGGGGCAAACAGG